GUACUUCUUUGAAGUACAUAUACUAAAAUUGGAACGAUACAGAGAAGAUUAGCAUGGCCCCUGCGCAAGGAUGACACGCAAAAUCGUGAAGCGUUCCACAUUUUU
rnacentral:snRNA from 1 species